AAUAAGAAAAUGACUAAUUAGAUUUUUUUUCUCCUGAUUUUCAGUUUUUUCCUUCUCAACAAAUUUAAAUCCAACUAAAAAUACUAAAAAUUAGGAGGAAAAAUCUAAUUUGUCAUUAUCUACUU
rnacentral:pre_miRNA from 1 species